rnacentral:rRNA from 1 species
AUUGAACGCUGGCGGCACGCCUUACACAUGCAAGUCGAACGGUAACAGGUCUUCGGAUGCUGACGAGUGGCGAACGGGUGAGUAAUACAUCGGAACGUGCCCGAGAGUGGGGGAUAACGAGGCGAAAGCUUUGCUAAUACCGCAUACGAUCUCAGGAUGAAAGCAGGGGACCGCAAGGCCUUGCGCUCACGGAGCGGCCGAUGGCAGAUUAGGUAGUUGGUGGGAUAAAAGCUUACCAAGCCGACGAUCUGUAGCUGGUCUGAGAGGACGACCAGCCACACUGGGACUGAGACACGGCCCAGACUCCUACGGGGGGCAGCAGUGGGGAAUUUUGGACAAUGGGCGCAAGCCUGAUCCAGCCAUGCCGCGUGCAGGAUGAAGGCCUUCGGGUUGUAAACUGCUUUUGUACGGAACGAAAAGACUCCUUCUAAUAAAGGGGGUCCAUGACGGUACCGUAAGAAUAAGCACCGGCUAACUACGUGCCAGCCGCCGCAGUAAAAC